CAUCCACCAAUCCCGCAUCCUCCUCCCCACCAAUCCCCCGCCCUCCUCCAGCCCACCAAUCCCCGCGUCCUCCUCCUCACCAACCCUAGACGUUCCCUCGCCGCCACCUCUCCUUCCCCCGUUCAUCCUCUCCAGCCGCCGCUGCAACCCCUGUCUCUCCUCCUCUGCACAGCGCAUCUAGCUGGAGCAGAAUGCGGCGGCUGCAUCUCCUGGCAACGGCAGUGGGACGGGUGGAUGAGGAGGCGACGGCUCGAGAGGUAGGCAAGAGGAACACAACCCCAGUUGAGGAGCUCGGCACAGGAAUCGCUACAACAACAAUUAGAAGAAACUCUGUGUUGCAGAUUCAGAACCAAUUUCUAUAGUGCACGCCGCAGUAGCAAGGACAGACGACAUCAAUGCUGGUCAGCAACUAAAUCGACAAGCAUCGAUAUUUUUAUUAGGAAGGAAUAGACAGAUUAGUUUCUAAAGCUUCUCUGUCGGGACGCAUAGGCCAGAAGGACAGCUGGAGUCGCCGCCGUCGCUUAUGGAGAUCCACACCAUUGCCCAGUUGUACAAUAGCAUGUGAAAUCUUCUCCAUUCAAGACUAAGUGCAAAUGGUGAAAUCUUUGCCAAAUAAGAAGAUAUGAGGAUCAGGCAUAUAGGCCCCAUAAGGAACGUGGAGAGAUGAAUCUGGUGGAUUGUAGCCGCAAGGGAUACUGUUGUAGUAUGUGGGACAAAGAGUAUGUCUGCACCUGAUGGUGAUCUGCCAAAGUUGGGUACUUUCUAGCAACGCCUUGUUACUCCUACAGAAGAUGCCAUUACUGCUGCUCAUAGG